GUGUCAGCAGCCGCGGUAACACGUAGGGGGCGAGCGUUGUCCGGAUUUAUUGGGCGUAAAGAGCUCGUAGGCGGCUCGCUAAGUCGGGUGUGAAACCUCCAGGCUCAACCUGGAGACGCCACCCGAUACUGGCAUGGCUAGAGUCCGGUAGGGGAGCGUGGAAUUCCUGGUGUAGCGGUGAAAUGCGCAGAUAUCAGGAGGAACACCAGCGGCGAAGGCGGCGCUCUGGGCCGGUACUGACGCUGAGGAGCGAAAGCAUGGGGAGCAAACAGGAUUAGAAACCCCUGUAGUCC
rnacentral:rRNA from 1 species